GACGAACGCUGGCGGCGUGCUUAACACAUGCAAGUCGAACGGAAAGGCCCUGCUUUUGUGGGGUGCUCGAGUGGCGAACGGGUGAGUAACACGUGAGUAACCUGCCCUUGACUUUGGGAUAACUUCAGGAAACUGGGGCUAAUACCGGAUAGGAGCUCCUGCUGCAUGGUGGGGGUUGGAAAGUUUCGGCGGUUGGGGAUGGACUCGCGGCUUAUCAGCUUGUUGGUGGGGUAGUGGCUUACCAAGGCUUUGACGGGUAGCCGGCCUGAGAGGGUGACCGGCCACAUUGGGACUGAGAUACGGCCCAGACUCCUACGGGAGGCAGCAGUGGGGAAUAUUGCACAAUGGGCGGAAGCCUGAUGCAGCAACGCCGCGUGCGGGAUGACGGCCUUCGGGUUGUAAACCGCUUUCGCCUGUGACGAAGCGUGAGUGACGGUAAUGGGUAAAGAAGCACCGGCUAACUACGUGCCAGCAGCCGCGGUGAUACGUAGGGUGCGAGCGUUGUCCGGAUUUAUUGGGCGUGAAGGGCUCGUAGGUGGUUGAUCGCGUCGGAAGUGUAAUCUUGGGGCUUAACCCUGAGCGUGCUUUCGAUACGGGUUGACUUGAGGAAGGUAGGGGAGAAUGGAAUUCCUGGUGGAGCGGUGGAAUGCGCAGAUAUCAGGAGGAACACCAGUGGCGAAGGCGGUUCUCUGGGCCUUUCCUGACGCUGAGGAGCGAAAGCGUGGGGAGCGAACAGGCUUAGAUACCCUGGUAGUCCACGCUGUAAACGGUGGGUACUAGGUGUGGGGUCCAUUCCACGGGUUCCGUGCCGUAGCUAACGCUUUAAGUACCCCGCCUGGGGAGUACGGCCGCAAGGCUAAAACUCAAAGGAAUUGACGGGGCCCCGCACAAGCGGCGGAGCAUGCGGAUUAAUUCGAUGCAACGCGUAGAACCUUACCUGGGUUUGACAUGGAUCGGGAGUGCUCAGAGAUGGGUGUGCCUCUUUUGGGGUCGGUUCACAGGUGGUGCAUGGCUGUCGUCAGCUCGUGUCGUGAGAUGUUGGGUUAAGUCCCGCAACGAGCGCAACCCUUGUUCACUGUUGCCAGCACGUUAUGGUGGGGACUCAGUGGAGACCGCCGGGGUCAACUCGGAGGAAGGUGGGGAUGACGUCAAGUCAUCAUGCCCCUUAUGUCCAGGGCUUCACGCAUGCUACAAUGGCUGGUACAGAGAGUGGCGAGCCUGUGAGGGUGAGCGAAUCUCGGAAAGCCGGUCUCAGUUCGGAUUGGGGUCUGCAACUCGACCUCAUGAAGUCGGAGUCGCUAGUAAUCGCAGAUCAGCAACGCUGCGGUGAAUACGUUCCCGGG
rnacentral:rRNA from 1 species